CAGCUGUAGAAGACCAGCCACAUAUUUACAGUCGGUUACAACAGGCUGUUUGUGAACGGACACUGCACUUGGUCUUAUUUGAAAGGACAGUGCUGGAAAGACUUCACAGCAACCUUUCCAGGUGCAGGCUGGCUGGACAAGCAGUCAAUCCCAGGUUCAGCAACAUGCCAGGAGGCGUGCUCAGCCUCAGACAAAGCAAAACACCCCAGGACACAUGUGUUUACAGAUGUCUCAGAGCUACUGUCUCAUCUCUUGUGGAAGCUGGGACUGUGAAUGAUCUGAGAGAGCUUUCCAAAUGAGUCCAUAGAGUCCAUAUGUUCUUCUGUUUGUGCUGCUCUCAGCCCUUGCUGGUCAGGAAUGUCCCGUCCUGGGGCUGAGGCCUGUUCCAGAAUGCUUAUCCUAGGAAGGAACUGAGCCAAUGUCGGGACACCUCUGUCUCGACCCUGCAGCCUUUGCCGCUGGUUUCCUAGACUGAGCAGAGCUCCGUGUUUGUCAGAGAUGUAGACGUUGUACCCGUCUGGUAAGAUCUGCUCUCUAAAGGUGCAGUCGUCUCUGCUGUAGGUGUGCUGGAAAAGACAGAGAGGCAUACAUUCUUAUGUUGUCCUCCUACAAAUAGAUGAGUUAUUGAGAUGGAAGGUUUUGUAAAGACUAAAUACUAAGUUUUUUGUAUUGCAUCAAUAUAGUCCGAAUGCAGAGAAUAAAUUUGAAAGGUCAAGCAUACAGCCAAAAUGUUAAGAAUAAAGUUCAGAGGAAGAUA